rnacentral:misc_RNA from 1 species
GAAAUGUGAUAAGUAAUGUGAAUUGCAGAAUUCAGUGAAUCAUCGAAUCUUUGAAUGCACCUUGCGCUCCUUGGUAUUCCUUGGAGCAUGCCUGUUUGAGUAUCAUGAAAUCUUCAAAGUAAAUCUUUUGUUAACUCAAUUGGUUUCUACUUUGGUAUUGGAGGUCUUUGCAGCUUCACACCUGCUCCUCUUUGUUCAUUAGCUGGAUCUCAGUGUUAUGCUUGGUUCCACUCGGCGUGAUAAGUUAUCUAUCGCUGAGGACACUGUAAAAGGUGGCCAAGGUAAAUGCAGAUGAACCGCUUCUAAUAGUCCAUUGACUUGGACAAUACUUUUAUGAUCUGAUCUCAAAUCAGGUAGGACUACCCGCUGAACUUAAGC